rnacentral:rRNA from 1 species
GAGUUUGAUCCUGGCUCAGAUUGAACGCUGGCGGCAUGCCUUACACAUGCAAGUCGAACGGCAGCAUGAUCUAGCUUGCUAGAUUGAUGGCGAGUGGCGAGCGGGUGAGUAAUACAUCGGAACGUGCCCUGUAGUGGGGGAUAACUAGUCGAAAGAUUAGCUAAUACCGCAUACGACCUGAGGGUGAAAGUGGGGGACCGCAAGGCCUCAUGCUAUAGGAGCGGCCGAUGUCUGAUUAGCUAGUUGGUGGGGUAAAGGCCCACCAAGGCGACGAUCAGUAGCUGGUCUGAGAGGACGAUCAGCCACACUGGGACUGAGACACGGCCCAGACUCCUACGGGAGGCAGCAGUGGGGAAUUUUGGACAAUGGGCGAAAGCCUGAUCCAGCAAUGCCGCGUGUGUGAAGAAGGCCU